rnacentral:rRNA from 1 species
UACGUAGGGUGCGAGCGUUAUCCGGAUUUAUUGGGCGUAAAGAGUUCGUAGGCGGUUAUUUAAGUUGAAUAUGAAAUAUCCCGGCUCAACCGGGAAAACGUAUCCAAAACUGAACAACUAGAGGUAUGCAGGGGCAGAUGGAACACACGGUGUAGCAGUGAAAUGCGUAGAUAUCGUGUGGAACGCCAAUGGUGAAGACAGUCUGCUGGGCAUUACCUGACGCUGAGGAACGAAAGCGUGGGGAG